GCCUUCGUGGUGUAGUGUCCAGCACGCUCGACACGUAACCGAGAGGUUCGUGGUUCGAUUCCCGGCGAAGAGCA
rfam:Stegodyphus mimosarum contig80844, whole genome shotgun sequence.